ACAGAGGCCUAUCCAAACCCACGGCCUGCUCUGCUUUCCUGUGUAAUGAUGCUGCUCACCUGUCUGGACCCUUCACAGCUUCCUAGUCUGUAGGGUUAACCGCUAGCGGUCAUGGGCAACCCAGAGGUGCCCCAGGAAAGAACACCCAGGCUGGGCGCCCGUCCUUAGAGUUUCCUGUGCCGCCCGAGGUGGAAGUGGCCUUGAGGGUUAAGUCACAUACGUGCUGAGUGUCUCUUUCUGCAUACCUGCCAUGGCUUGUGAGUCAGGGUUCUGCUCU
rnacentral:lncRNA from 1 species